UUGGAAGACGAGGAGAACGGACAGCCCCAACUCUGCCUUUUACAGGGGGGAGGACGGGGUUGUCUGUGUGGGGAAAUAUUGCUACUACGAUAGCUGUGAAGAAACAGGAGGACCCGGUUGAUUUAAAACAGAUGGAUGAUCCCAGGCGACGUCACUAUCAACCGUCCGCACGAAGCUCGAGAACCUACUGCUGUUAUUCUUAAAGUGCUCGUGUCGUUUACGUCGCUCUGCUCAUACAGACAAGUCGGCAGUUGUGAGAGGCGCUUGACAACCCCACUAGAUCCACCCUUGUCUUCUGAGGCACUUCCUCCCACAAUAUAAGAUGAAGUAGCAUACGACGCUGCACAGGUGUGCGUAUCCAGCCUAGCUUCUACUAUCCUUCGCCACGUGGGUCUAGGUGGGCCCGAGGGGUUGGCUGUUAUCUUUGGUUAUCUAGCUGUAUGAGUGGUGUACAUUCUUCAUAAAGCUAGAUAACCGAAAGUAACAAGAAUCCCAUUGCGCUCCCGCAAAGCCUGUUUCUUGUGCCAACAAACAAAACAAAAUGGCCGACGUCCGAGAGGAAGUGACUCAGCGUUUGUGCCCAGCCAACCAAUCAGAAGACUUAAAGGUGACCCAUCACAUUGAAGUUAUGAUGUCAAGGCCAGGCAUCUGGCUCCGCCUCCCUCUGAAGUCCACCACCUGCCGACGCUCACCCCACCAAUGGGGACGUCCAUUUCCGAAUGUAAUUGUGCCCACCUGACCUAAAUGGAAGCGGAUUGACUCCUCUUGUUAAACCUGAAGCACUUUGUUGACGUUGAGGGAUCUCCCUUUAGUUUGGGUGAACUUUGGGCACAUGCCUGGACUGAACAUGGGGUAAUGUACUGUUGAGUCACGGAUACCAAUGGAUACUCAACCACAGCUGAAAAUAGGGUAAUGUGCUGUUGAGUCACGGAUACCAAUGGAUACUCAACCACAGCUGCGUCUGUGGGCCUAACCCUCAGACUGUCUUCUGAACGUCUGGAUAUGCCAAUCAAAGUAGAAGUUUAAACGGACUACUGUGAACUGGUGCGUCUCGGUCCUCCCACAACUAACUGUCUGGAUACAUGGACAGAAAUGGACAUAUCUGCGCUAAGCAGCCGGAUGUGGACCACGCUAGUUGAGAAGAACAUUGACUAAUAUGCAUAUUGAAGCAUACUGGACUGGCGUAUGGAACGCCAAUGAGUCCGAACGGUAGACACAUAGAACUGGAAGCGGAGUUGUUGUUCCUGAGCCGGAGUAUACCAUUCAACACAGACGGCAUGGAGCACUAGCCCCGUGUUUAUGGACGAGUGCUGCGUGAGGGUUUUAGUGAGGGUUGUGAGAAGUGUGUGUGUGUGCGCGCGCUGUGUUGUGACGGUACACUCUACACACAGCUGUAUCUGUCACAUCUGCCGUACAUUCGAGCCGCGGGUGUCAGCACGCUGAUCUGUUGAUGUGUAUGUGUGCAUGUGUGUGUCUGUGUCUGUGUAUGUGUAUGUGCACGCACUUUGUGUCAUCCUCACUCAGCGCAAGUUCUGUUCUCGGAUUGUAAGCAACACACACACACACCACAAGUCAUAGUAAAGGUCUUGUAAACUGCUUCUGGUUAAUGGUCAUUGGAUGUAUCAUGCGCUUAUGCUACAGUACCUGGCAAAAAUGAUAUUUGACACUGGAGGUUAUAUGGUUUAGUAGUGGAAUCCUUCUGCGCCACUGAUUUUAUUAUCAAGGGGAGGCAAACAAGUAUUUUAUAUUGGACAGACCACAUAGUGUUCCGAUAAUGUGUGUAUAGAUAGAACACAUGCAAUUCAUUAAAAUAGAAACAUAGAAAUGCAUCUUGAAAUCUAUGCAAAUUAAUCAACAAACAAUUGUAUCAUUUGCUUAUGAGAAUCAUUCAGAUUCUCUGAGGGUUUAGAUUUUUUUCCAAGGACAAUCUGUUAAAUAUUGUAGGGUGAUGUGAGAGAAAUGAAAUGAAAGUGCAUAUAUAGAAAGGUUUCUAUGCUCUGGUCCAGACUUAAAAAUAUGUUGGGAUUUUACACUGUUUUUCUCAACUGCUUUGAUACAUUUUUUGUAUCAAUAUCGAAAUAUAAACAUUGGACUGGUUAAUUUACUCAACUGUGCAGGGACAUGUAUACAUCUUCAGAUUGGUUCUAAUGGAUCGACUGCAAAGUUUCAUAUACAUUUUUCCAUACAACUCUGUAACGACUCCCACCGAAGGUGGCUCCCCUUCCUGUUCGGGUGGCGCUCGGCGGUCGUCGUCACCGGCCUACUAGCUGCUACUGACUUUUCCUCCCCCUCCCUUUUUGUUGAUUAUUGACACCUGUUUGUGGUUAGGGUGAUUUGUGGGGCUUUAUUACCCAGCAGCCCGGCCUGCUGGGUGUGCGGGAUGUUGUGUGUACAGUCUGUACAUUCUUGUGUGUCAGGGUACGUGUUCGUUGGUUUGUGUUUAUUCGUGUUUCUCACUUUGUUUGUGGUGAAGCAUUUGUUUUAGAGUAGCGUCGUGUUUUCACCCGUGUGGGGAAUUAAAUUUGGAAUGCUACUCUGAACUCUCUGUCUCCUGCGUUUGACUCCUUUCAUCCACGAUACCCCGGGCAUUACAAACUUCAAUUAUUUCUGGGAUUUCAUGUCAACAUUUUUACUCUAUGCAGCUUUUAUAUUUUGUCACUUUUGCAGCUUUUUGUCAUCAGUAAUGUGACUAUCAUUCGGAGCAACUGCAAAUCAUAUUUUGAUUUCUGUCAUUUUUAGAAUGUUGAAAAUGUUUCAUAUUUUUGUUGUUGGAAUUUUUAGAAAAACUAUGCAAUGGCUGUAUGAUGAAUGUGUUUGAUAGUGUGAUGUACUGUACGGUUUAACAACAAUGUGUACUCGACAUGAUCAACACGUAUAGGACCACACUAUAUGUAGUGGGUUACUGUGCAAUUUGUUGCGAGGAUUGUGCAAUCAGAGUGAAUGUGGGCUCUACACGAGGAGUUUAAACUAAACAGUCCGAGUGAAUGUGGGCUCCACACGAGGAGUUUAAACGAAACAGUCGGAGUGAAUGUGGGCUCUACAUGAGGAGUUUAAACUAAACAGUCGGAGUGAAUUUGGGCUCUACAUGAGGAGUUUAAACUAAACAGUCGGAGUGAAUUUGGGCUCUACAUGAGGAGUUUAAACUAAACAGUCAGAGUGAAUGUGGGCUCUACACGAGGAGUUUAAACUAAACAGUCAGAAUGAAUGUGGGCUCUACACGAGGAGUUUAAACUAAACAGUCAGAGUGAAUGUUGGCUCUACACGAGGAGUUUAAACUAAACAGUCAGAGUGAAUGUGGACUCUACACGAGGAGUUUGAACUAAACAGUCAGAGUGAAUGUGGGCUCUACACGAGGAGUUUGAACUAAACAGUCAGAGUGAAUGUGGGCUCUACACGAGGAGUUUAAACUAAACAUUCAGAGUGAAUUUGGGCUCUACAUGAGGAGUUUAAACUAAAGAGUCAGAGUGAAUGUGGGCUCUACACGAGGAGUUUAAACUAAACAGUUAGAAUGAAUGUGGGCUCUACACGAGGAGUUUAAACUAAACAGUCAGAGUGAAUGUGGGCUCUACAUGAGGAGUUUGAACUAAACAGUCAGAGUGAAUAUGGGCUCUACACGAGGAGUUUAAACUAAACAGUCAGAGUGAAUGUGGGCUCUACACGAGUAGUUUAAACUAAACAGUCAGAGUGAAUGUGGGCUCUACACGAGUAGUUUAAACUAAACAGUCAGAGUGAAUGUUGGCUCUACACGAGGAGUUUAAACUAAACAGUCAGAAUGAAUGUGGGCUCUACACGAGGAGUUUAAACUAAACAGUCAGAAUGAAUGUGGGCUCUACACGAGGAGUUGAAACUAAACAGUCAGAGUGAAUGUGGGCUCUACACGAGGAGUUUAAACUAAACAGUCAGAAUGAAUGUGGGCUCUACACGAGGAGUUUAAACUAAACAGUCAGAGUGAAUUGUCUGUAGAAGUAUGUAUCAUGUAGAAAGCAAGAGUGUAAUUGAUGGACGGUGUGCACUAUUUGGAAUGUAUGCAAUUUGUAUGGAGGAAGUAUGCACUAUGUUGAGGGUGAACGCAAUAUUUUUAUGACAAUGUUGGAUUUUAAAGAGAUGCUUGCAUGAGUGCACUAUGUCCCACAAAUGCUUGGCCUAUGUUAGCCAUGUUUGCACAUGAUCUCUGAAUUCUAACUGUAUGGGACUGAUUCAUUCUUGUACCAUGUACUUUGUACUAUGCAGGAUUAGUUUACACAAUCAAUAAAUGUUUACAUUGAAAAAAGAAAACAA